UCGAAAAGCUCGCUAGACCGCUU
rnacentral:snRNA from 1 species